AACAGAAAGAAAGAAGUCAUGUUGUUUGCAGGAAAAUGCAUGUAACUGGCCAUAAUCAUUUUAAGUGAACAGAUGUAGUUCUACAAAACAAAUGUUGUAUGUCUUCUGUACUAUAUGGAUCCUAGAUUUUAUAGAGAGAUGUAAAAUUGUGACUGUUGCUAUGACAUGGAAGGAGCGAACCCUCUGGGGAGAGGGGAACUAAGGGGAAAGGUGCUAUGUGAGAAAGGGAAGGGGGGCCUGGAAGGGGAUUUACACAAUGCACAACACACAUCCUUAUGCAGCGCAGCCCCAUGUGCCAUGACUAUACACAGUGGAGACUAAACACACAAACCAGUUCUCUGCUUUGCCCAUAAUCUGACUAUGUAUUAAAGACAAAGGCAAAUUUGUAUGCUAAUGAGAUGGAAGUGCUUGUUUAUUUUUACAUAAAGAAUUAAAUCUUGGCUGAAUAUUUGAUAAUGCAGACUGUAGAGUAUCUUCAACACUUUGUAGAGUUGAUCAAUAUUUUGAUUUUUAUAAUCACCAGUGCCGAGGAUGCCACUUCACAUAAACGCACAGUACAAAAUGGAAGAAAAGUGUGUUUAGGGUCAUUAUAGAAAUUGUUGGAAAUUCUGUUCAAAUUUCAAUCCAAAAGCAAUAAUAAAAAAACGAAACUCAAGACAGCAUCUCAAACAGCAAUUUUACAAUCAAACAUUCUAGCAAUGCAAUUCAAAGACACACUGAUUUGAUGGAUGCAAAGGGAUGAUGGUAGGAAAAUAUUCAGUAUUUGUUUUCAAACCAAAGAUGUAUGAAAAACCCACACAGAAGCCUACUAUUUUUCAAGUUAAUUAAAUACAAUAUAGGAAGUAAUAAUAAAAUAUAACAAUAAAACAGAGUUUGAAUUGAGGUACCCUACUGGUUGUUCAAUGUUGCUCUCAGAUGCCACAUAGUGUUAAACAAAAAACUCAGUGGGUCACAUAAAAAAAAGCCAAACCAAGCCAAGACUAGGCAGGAGGGCUUUCUGAGAGAAUGACGGGGUGCUGAGGAUCAAACCCAGGGCUUUGUGCACCCUAGGGAAGUGUUCUCCCAGCCAACACACACCCCGGCCUGGAACGAGCUUUUUGUUGUUGCUUCUUCAUACACAUCCUGCUGUUGCCAAAGUGUUCGAGACCUCCACACUCAAUUAGGGAGGGCUCAGUCUAAGAAUUUUGUUGAUACUGAACAGCUGGGCAGCUCCAAAUCAGUGGACAGAGAACCAUAUUUCAAUGUGGGAACCCCUGCUCUGAUCCAGCACGGCCUCUUGAAUACCCGUGAAUGCUCGGACACUGUGAUGGUAAAUCUUGAUAGUUAGCUUGUUAGGAUCUGGAAUCAAGAGCGUGGUAUUACUUCUGCAUGGGUCUGUGAAGUCAUUUCCAGGAGUGAUUAACUGAGGGGACCAGUCACUGGAGCGGGAGGCAUCUGAGCAAUGACCCAGGUAGAAAAGCUUCUGAGUAAAGCACAGUGCUCCACGCUGAUCUUGGUUCUUGCUGGUGACUGUGCAUCCAUCCAUGGCUGCCGCCGCCACCAUCCUUUGCUGACAUGAGAAUCCAGCUUCUUGGACUCCCAGCAUGGACUCAAGAUGGUUGCUUUCUGGGAAUCCUCCAGACCUUCAGCAUCAGAUUGAGGCUUUCGGCCUCACCAGCCUUUACCCAACAGAGUGUGUUAACCUACCCAGGGAAUCCCCUUUUAUUACAAUCUUUCUAUCAGUUCUGGUUCUCUAGAGAACCCUGGGUUAAUACAGGGACUUUCUUAACCCUACUACACCCCUGUGUUCCCAUCUAUAAAACGAGAGGACUCAUCUCUCCCUCAUAGGGCCAAGUUAGGCUCAAAAUGUCAAUGCUUUUAAACCUGAAAGGACUUUGUAAAUUGGUGGAGCAUGUGCAGCGUCCUUCUUUUGCAACAGGAGUAUUAAGCUUUGAUAUUAGCUCAGAAGGCUCUGGUGGUGCAAGCAUUGUCCCUGGCAGGCGGUAUUGAGAAGUAAUUGGAUUCUAAGGGUGUUGACUUCAUCAACUGGGUAAGGCCUUGUGUUCAUACUGAGUAGCCUGUGAGGCUGCCGGGUCCUGCUGGAGAAAGCCGGUCCCUGGAUGUGUGCCAUCACAGCUUUAAGAGUUUGGGAUGGGAAGCCAGGCUCUUGCCAUCAAAGUAUGAACUCAUGCACCAAGUCCCCACACACGCACUGUAUUUGAGAGAGAGUUUUCUCUGCUUUCAACCACUGGGGCCCAGGGAUCGAACUCACUUCAUCAGGCUUGGCAGCAGACAUUUUUACCUGCUGAACCAUCUCUCUGGAAGUAUCUGGAACAGAGAUCUACUCAGUUAUUUAUCUAUGGCAGCUUUCCCACUGCAGGAGCAGAGAGGAUUGGUGGGAGCAGAGACCACAUGUUCUGUCAAGCUGAAAUAUUUACUACCUUUACACAAAAAGUUUGUCGAGUCCUGUUUUUACUACAUGAGGCCCUUUAUUCUCAACUCCAGUAUACCAGAUGGGGCUCUGGGGCACAGAGAAGUUAAGUUGUUUGUCUGAGGUCACACAGCAGAGCUGGGACCAGCAUUCUGUCCACACCUGGUUCUGAGGCCAGACUUCAAUUGUUUUACUCCACUUUCCUCUCAGCUUGGCCCUCGGGAUCCACUUCACAAACUUAAUUCACAUUUUCUGCAGAGUGAAGAACAAAGACACUGUUUCGGCGGCAGUAUGAGCAGGUGUCACAAUAUUUUCCGUGGCAUCAGAGAUGUGUUUAGGGAGGGAAAUACAGUAGGACCAGAAUUUUCAGUAUUUCACUUUGUGGUGACCAUGUAAUGGGGACUUUGGCAGCCAGCCCCAAACAGUGGGUCUGCGGAGACUGGCUGGUGUGACAACAGCGCACAGUCCGCAUAGUCAUGUGGGUCUUGCUAUAAUGCUUGUCGCAGGGGCCAGACACGGUGGUAGAUGCCAAGUGCCGGGGACCACAUCUGACUCUGAGUAAGGCUGAUGCAAACAUUUGCUUUUUGUGUCAAUGGAUGGGAAAAUUGCCUGGCAUGGUGGUUCAUGCUUGUAAUCCCAGCAUUAGGGAGGCUGAGACAGUAGCAUUGCCAGAAGUCCCCGUCACAUGGUAAGCAGGGAAGCAUUGAAUUUGAUGCACCAUUUUCAGAAAGCCUUGCUGGACUCCUGCUUCCCCAGGGGCCGGCUGAAUACAGAACACUCCUCUAUACACUCUCUAUAAUGCUCCCAUAAACUCUCUCACUGGUUACAAAGCAGUUGUCUUUGAUGCAAAUGGCCAUAGGGCCAGUUAUGAAUGAGUGUUCAAUGAGUCUGGGGAGGUGGUUCAGUGGGCAAGAAUACUUGCUGUCCGUGUUUGAGGACUUGAGUUUUGAUCAUCAGCAAUCACAUGAAAAGUUGGGUGUGGCUGCUCACAAGCUUUAACCCCAGUGCUUUGGGGAGCAGAGCCAGGACAUCGCUGGAGGCUUGCUGCCUGUCUGGCUCCAAGUUUAGAGAGAGACAUUGUUUCCAGGGAAUAAAGCAGAGUGUAGCAGAGUAGGUCACCUGAUGUCUUCCUCUGUCCUUGCAUGAAUUGGAGUGUACAUCCACAUAUGUGUGCAUAUGCUACACACACAUAUCACAUGCACAUGGACACACAUACCAAACAAACAAAUGAAAAGUAUGUUAAAAAUGAAAAGAAAGUGGUGCAGUGAGGGGAGUGAAUCCUGGAUACUCCAGCUGUCUGUCGCAGCACAAAAGAGCAGACAGUGUGGACAAGGGGAGCCUGUUAGUUAUGUCUGUCCCCUCUUGACACCUGGACUUCGGUGCUGAUGGUGUCUCGACCUGCAUGGCACAAGAACUCUCACUGAGUCUUUCCUUUGUUUGCCUCAGGGUUCUGGUUGGAGCACAAAGGUCCUUGCACCCACAGAUCACUAGGGAAACAGGGAUGUUAAAUACACAGGGGCCUCGUCUCAGUGGAGGAGAUAACAUACCUGUUUUCCCACCCAGAAGUUUGGGAGUAGAUUUUGUUAAUGAUCUGGUGACCUUUUUGCUAUCUGUGGAGGCAGACCUCACCCAAAUUACCCAGAAUGAUUAUCCCAGACUCUUCCCUCCCUAGACCAUUACCCAUCCCUAGGGGAGAAGUCACAUGUCCUCUAUGGCCUGCUGACCUCUAUGCUAUCAGUCAGAGACCACAGUAGAUUCUAGGCCUUUCAGCUGUGGAACAUACCCUCACGGUCACACGUAUUUUGUAAAGGAGUUUCUAAGUAGUCACUUAAGCUUUGUUGUGCACCUAGAAUUGGAAAGAUUAUUGCCUGGAAACCUUUCCCCAAACUGUACCAUGUUUAAAUAUGCUGACAAUGAACCACCUGGUACUAGACUCCCUUAAGUCUGAUGCAGAUUGUCGCAGUUGAUCCGAAGCAGGUUUUCAUUCUCUUUUUGAGACUCACUGCCUGCACUGACACCUGCAGGGUCCCUGUCAGUUCUGAAGCUCAGCACUUUCAAUACUCUGGCCACUUGCUUUAGCGCAGUGGUUCUCAACCUGUGGGUCUUGACCCCCAAAGAUCAUCAGAAAACACAGAUAUUUACAUUAUGAUUCAUAGUAGUAGCAAGAUUACAGUUAUGAAGUAGCAACAGAAUUAAUCUUAUGGUUGGUGUCACCACACCAUGAGGAACUGUGUUAAAGAACUAUAGCAUUAGGACGGUCGGGAACGCUGCCCUAGUGUAUGUGGGGUGCUGGUUCCAGCCUCAGUGCCGGAGAAGGAAGAGAUGGCUACCCUGUCAUCGGCAGCACAGUGGGUAAGUCUGGAGGGCAGAGUGUUCAGUAGGAUAAGCCAAGUGUGGACAUAACUGUGACCUCAUUCACUCAUGGCCAUCCUCCUGCCUCUGCCUCUGAGAAUCACUCAUUUGUGGAAUCCAAAGCAAACAAAACACUGAAGCGGCUGUUUCCAGAAGCUGGGGAUGGUAUUAAGGAUGGAAUGGGGGGAGAAUUACAGCUAGAAGAAAUGAAUCUGAAUCUUCUGCUGCACAGAUGGGCGACUAUAGUUAACUAUUUUCUAUUACGUAUUUCCUAUAAUUAGAAGAGAGGCUUUUUCCUUUAUUUCAAUUUAUAAAAAUGUACUGCAUGUAUAUGUUUGCACAUAUGUGUCUUUAUGUACGUGAGUACACUUGCCACAUGUAGAGGUCAGAGGACAACUUGUGGGAGUCGGUCCUCUCCUUCUAUCACGUGAGCUCCAGACCCCAGACCAGUUGUCAGGCUUGGCAGUCGUUUCCACGGCCCAGAAGAGAGGAUUUGCAUGUCUUCACAGAAAGAAAUGAUACACGCUCAAGAUGAUGGGCAUGCCCACUUUAUUUGAUGAUUACACAGUGUGUGCAUGGAAUAGCACACCAUAGCCCAUAGACAUGGAUGAGUAUCAUGUGCCAAUUAAAAGCAAAAGGGCACUGGGGAGCUGGCUCAGUGGGUAAGAGCACUGUGCAGGCAUGAGGGCCUGAGUUCAGACCCAUAGCACACACGUAAAAAGCUGGGCAUGGCUGCACAUACACAUGCAACCACAGUGCUGUGGAGGGUGGAGACAGCAGGGCUGCUGGGGCCUGCCGUCCCUCAGCAGAGCUCCAGGUUCAGUGAAAGACUCGGUCUCAAGAGAGUAAGACAGGAUAACAAAGCUUGCUCACCUGAUCACUCCCUUUAGCCUCUGAAUACACAUGAUUGCUUGCACCAGCACACACACGCACAGUGCACUCACACACGCAUGCGCACACACGCACACGCGCACACACAUGCACACACGCACACACACGUGCGUGCACACAUACAUGCACACGCGCACACACAUGCACACACGCAUGCGCACACACGCACACGCACACACACAUGCACACACGCACACACACGUGCGUGCACACAUACAUGCACACGCGCACACACUCCAUACACCCUUGUGUUGCUGUCAUUAUCACUUAAUUGCUAUCACUUCUACUUGUCACCAAUUCUUACUGGAAAAUUUUUGUUUUUUUCCUUUUAACUUGCUCGUGUUUUUCCCCUGUGGCAAACUCUGCACCUAGCAUCUUUAAAGGAGCUUUAAAGAAACCACAGUUCACUUCUGAAGCCUUGUCCCCACACCAUGAAAGCCCAAGAGAAGAUGAGAGGGAUCCUCUUUUGAGGCCAGGUUAUUCCACCUUUAAGAGGACUGCAUUGUGAGUGAUCAGCGGAGAGCAAAUGGCCCUAGAGGGGUGCCUGUUAUUAGUUUACAUGUUCUUCUGCAGGUACUUAGAGCUGGGGCUCGGAGAGCCAUGCGUCCACAGGCAGAGACGGAACAAACUGAAGAAGAGGUGAUGUCACAUGACAGUGCAGGCAGAAGCAUUUACAAACCAGUAAAGGACAAAGAGUGUGACAGAGCCCAGAAGCUGGGAGACAUGUCUGUGACAGAAUCUCCCCUCUUCCCAGAGGAACCAAGCCCAGAAGCUGGGAGACAUGUCUGUGACAGAAUCUCCUCUCUCCCCAGAGGAACCAAGCCUACCUUCACCUUGAUUUCAGCCUCUGACCUCCAGACGGCAAGAGAAUAAAUUUCAGUUACCAUCAUCUCUUCGCUUCUGGUAGUUUGUAACAGCAUCUGCAGAAAGCUAAGAGGCACCCCAUUGGGUGGUCUAGCUUUUCUUUAAAUUUACUUCUUUUUCUAACUGGGGGAGCCCUCAAUGUUUAAUCUUGCUGAUUGGAUUAAGGGACAGUGUAAAUCGUUAUUGGAUUAAGUGGCACUAUUUUGAAUGUGUCUGUUGAGGUCUUUUCUACAGAGGAUGAACCGAGAAGCCACGAUCUUCCCUGAAUGUGGGCAGCAGCGUCCCGUGGUCUCAGGUCCCGGACUGGAUGAAAAGCAAAAGGGAGAAAGCCUGUCACACACCUGUAUUUCCCUCUCUCUGCAUCCUCAUCAGUGAGAUGUGAGCAAGCAGCCUCUUGUCACCAUGGACAAGGCAAGGCGCAUCCCUGCCAGGAUGGACUGUGACCUCUGACCUGUGACCUAAAACAGAUUUUCACUCCCUUAAAUGUUGUCUCUUCAGGCACAGUUAUGAGAGGAGUCACUAAUAUACCUUUGUCCCCCUUUCUUCUGGCUUUCUCUUUCUCCGUUUUCUCCCCCAUCUUUCAUUUCAUCCUCUUCCCGUUUUCCCUCCUCCCCCCUUUCCCCUUCCUUCCUUCUUCACAUUUAUUCAUGCAGAGUGGAAUGAAGUCAAGACAGAAACAAUGUCUGACUUUGGACAGUGAGAAAUAGCCCAGCAGGAAGGGCUUGUAGUCAGAGGAGCGGAGCCAGGCCUGACUGGGCAUCCUUAUUUCUCCUUAGCAACGCAGCUAUGCCAAUAACUUGGUGACAGAGGGCCUGUAGUGGGGAGAGAAGACCCAGAUUUCAGCUCCAGAUCUCUCACUUACUCCCCAUUUGGAAGCUCCUCUUCUCUGAGAGGUGUUUUCUACCCUGGAAAAGAGACAGGAUGAAGAGAAAAGAAGCCUGAGUUCAUGUUCCCUGUUGGGAGCAAGUGAGGUGAUUCUUAUGCAGACAUUUUGUAAAUGGGAAAUACUGCAAGGAUGCUGAUGGCCGCUAUUAGGCUCCAUUAUGUGAAAUGGUUGGCAUUAGACCAUUCUCAACCAACAAAAACAGCAAUUUCAAUAUGCUCUAUAUCCUUUUAUCCACAGGGAAUGUUUCAAAACCCGCAGUCGGUGCUGGAAUUGGUGACCACAUCAAACUCUACAUAUAGUAUGACUUUUCUCUCUCUCUCUCUUUUUUUUUUUUACAAAGGCUCACACCAAGGAUAAUGUUCAAUUUAUGAAUUUGACACAGCAACAAAUAACAUUAGCUAAUAAGAAGAUAGAACAAUUAUAAGAUAUGCUAUAAUGAAAGUUAAUUAAAAUUUAUGAGUUGUGUAUUUCUAGAAUUUUCCAUUUAAUAUAUUUUAAACAUUUAUUUUAUUUUUUAUUUGUGUAUGUGUGUAUGCACACAUGAGUGCAGAUACCCUCGGAGGCCAGAAGAGGGCAUUGGACCCUUGCGGAUAGAGUUAUAAGGAGCUGUGUGUUGCCUGCUUGUCAUUUGUAGGAGCAUGGCUGUCAGAAAAGGCUUUGCUCUGCUUCAGAGGCCUUAGGAGACCACAGAAGAUCUCUCUGCAUCAUGGAAUUUUUUUCUGUCCUGGAAGCAGGACAAGUCGUUCCCGCUCUUCCUGCUUCCCAGAGGUCUUGGGCUCAGGCCACCUCCCCUCUAUAUCCAAGCAGUGGUCCUCAGUGUCUCCACACACAGUAUGUUCCUAUUCUAUUGUUCAUAGAAGACAGCACCAAUCAAUUUCAACACAAUGCUCCAGGGAACCACUACUAAUCAGCUACAGAGAAGCAGCCAGUUGAUAUCUGGACAAUGCUUUCCCCCUACUUCCAAGAAUUUUCAAGCAAAACAAAGGCUUAUACACACAGAAGUGUAGCUACCAUCCCUCAUCAAAGAAGCCCCUCUUCAUAGCAAAUGGAGCCUACCACAGAAAACCACAACUGGACACAAUGCGGAGACCAAUAGAUCAAUGGGGAACCCAGAGACAUUGACGUCACAGCUCCUGCAUCCAUGGCUCAGGGGACACUGAAGAAGAGAGAACAGAAAGGUUGUCAGAGUUGGAAUACGGGAAGUCUGUUGUGAAACAGUCUCUCCUACAAAUGGCUGCAUAAACCAGACUGGAACAAUGGCUACAUCAAUCAAAGUGUUAGUGUGGAACCAGGAAGAUUUCUCAGGGCCUCACCUCUAGACAAAGAAAUACAGGCAGCUAAUGACUUCAGGGAGAGGGAGGAUUAGCUUCUCCCAGGGAUGAACCCUCUUAUUGGUUGUCCAAUGCAGAGUGCUCAGCCCUGAAAACAUGUACACACCAAAAACAAAAACAGGGGUAGCCGGUUGUACUUAUAUAUAUUUGCACACACACACACACACACACACACACACACACACACACACACACACACCCAAUAAUAGUCAAAGGAAAAGAAUAGUCAACUUGAAAGUGGGGGAAAUGUGGGAGGGGUUUGAAGGAGGAGAUCUGGGAGGGGAAGGAGGGAGAGAAGGAAGGGAGAAAAGUGAUGUAAUUCUAUUUCAAUUUCAAUUAAAAAUAUAUCUAAAAAAUUCCAGUAAAAGUGGAGGCGGGGCUUCCAAGGCUGUAUACCUAGCUGAAGAACUGUUGGCAAUUGGUGGCUGGGGGGGAAGGGGAGUCUUUUUCUUUGGGGGUGUGGUCACUGAAUUUAUCCAUGUUCUCUGGUGGAUGGUACCACACCCAUGACAUGAGGCAGCACUAAUUGUCCUCAUUGGUUUAUACAGAAGUAGAAGAUGUGACCUAACAAGGGGGCCAGGUUAGGGGGUCGGGGGUUGUGGUGAAAAGGAGAGUGGGGGUGGGUAUGAUCAUGAUAUAGUGAAUACAUAUGUGUGAUGUCAAAGAAUAAAACUACUCUAAAAGGAAGAAAGUCCACUUUUCAUUCUCUUCAGUGAAAUCUUGUUUCUUCUUUUUUUUUCCUGCUUUUUAGACAGUGUCUUAUGUAGUCCAGGCUAGCUUCCAACUCAUGUUGCUCAGGAUGGACUUGAACUCAUGACUUUCCUGCUUUCUCUUGUUUACUGGGUGGGAACUGAAUUUUAACUCUUUCUAUGUUACUCAGAUGUUUUGUUAAUUAAUAAUAACUAUUUUUGUUAAUUAUUUAUUUUUCCAUUUAUUUCUCUAUCUCUACAUAAUCUAUUAUCUAUCUAUACAUCACCUAUCCAUUUAUCCAUCACCAAUCACCUAUCUAUCUGUCUGUCUAUCUAUCUAGUGACUGAUUUAUUUUGAUAAGGCUCUCAUGCAUUCCUGUCUGGUCUUGAAUUCUCUGUGUAGUCCAGGCUCAUAUUCAACUCUGUGUAGCCCAGUCUGGUCUUGAGUUCCUGAUCCUCCUGAUUCUGCCUAUCAAAUGUUGGAUGACAACAUGCUCCACCAAGCCUGCUUAUUUUUCCAUUUAAGUGUGUUUAUAUACCACAUCUUUCUUAGGUAAAUGUCAAAAUAAAGUACACACAUCUCUACCUUGUGUUUUUUCAUGUAGUGAUAUUUUUGAGUGUGGAGGCACUCCACCUUCCUGUGACAGCUGGGUAGUAAGUGAACACAUCAUGUUAAUCUGGCAGGUGCCAGCACAGGUCACACCCAGACCGUUGCUGCUGCAGAUGAAGCUGCAGAGACACCAGCCAUGCAGGCACACCAAUGCCUGUCUUUCUGUCAGCAUGCUUGGAACACAAUUUUAGGACUGGGGUUUAUGAGUCAGUGGCCACAUGCAUAGGUAGUUUUGCUAAAUUUCACUUCAUGAGUGUUUUGCUAUUUUGUGUUCACACCAAUAAUAACAACACAGACGUCCUCUUGCCAUAGAACAAUUUUGGGGUGUUGGGAGAAAGGAAUAGUGGUCUAUUAGGUAAUCUCGGGGUCCACCCAAUAACCAGCUGUGUCUGUGGUCUCCAAUAUAAGUUCUCUGUAAUAUCAAUAAGAUUGUGUUAUUUACAUGUCUAAAACCCUGCUGGCUUUCUUUUUUAUAUCAUGUAUUUUAAAAAGAUUCAUUUAUUUAUUUAUUUAGAGACAAAGCCUCACUAUAUAUCUUUGGCCAGCCUGGAACUUGCUGAGUAGGCCAGGCUGGCCUUGAAUUCACAGAAAUCCACCUGUCUCUGCUUUCCUAGU